UUGUUUAACUGCCAAACUCAUCGCGAGAUGAGGACGGAAAGCCACGGGUCUCAGAGUGUGUUGAGAUGUAUCUCAGAUAGCCGGGUUGCGGAA
rfam:Idiomarina baltica OS145 1099451322285, whole genome shotgun sequence.